AUACAGAGGGUGCAAGCGUUAAUCGGAAUUACUGGGCGUAAAGCGCGCGUAGGCGGUUUGUUAAGUUGGAUGUGAAAGCCCCGGGCUUAACCUGGGAGGGUCAUUCAAAACUGGCAGACUAGAGUGUGGUAGAGGGUAGUGGAAUUCCUAGUGUGGCGGUGAAAUGCGUAGAGAUUAGGAGGAACACCCGUGGCGAAGGCGACUGCCUGGACCAACACUGACGCUGAGGUGCGAAAGCGUGGGUAGCGAACAGGAUUAGAAACCCCGGUAGUCC
rnacentral:rRNA from 1 species